rnacentral:rRNA from 1 species
GAUGAACGCUGGCGGCGUGCCUAAUACAUGCAAGUCGAGCGAACGGACGAGAAGCUUGCUUCUCUGAUGUUAGCGGCGGACGGGUGAGUAACACGUGGAUAACCUACCUAUAAGACUGGGAUAAUUUCGGGAAACCGGAGCUAAUACCGGAUAAUAUUUUGAACCGCAUGGUUCAAAAGUGAAUGACGGUCUUGCUGUCACUUAUCGAUGGAUCCGCGCUGCAUUAGCUAGUUGGUAAGGUAACGGCUUACCACGGCAACGAUGCAUAGCCGACCUGAGAGGGGGGUCGGCCACACUGGAACUGAGACAGGGUCCAGACUCCUACGGGAGGCAGCAGUAGGGAAUCUUCCGCAAAGGGCGAAAGCCUGACGGAGCAACGCCGCGUGAGUGAUGAAGGUCUUCGGAUCGUAAAACUCUGUUAUUAGUGAAGAACAGAUGUGUAAGUAACUGUGCACAUCUUGACGGUACCUAAUCAGAAAGCCACGGCUAACUACGUG